rnacentral:sRNA from 1 species
CCUUGAUAUCCCACCGCCGCCGCCAACCGCUGCCACGCUGCUCAAUUGCUCAAUUGCUCAAUUGUUGCAGCUUCAUCUGUCCUGAUCCUACGAGCCCUGUCCAAUUGGCUGUGUUCUGCGUUCCGGGUCUCGAGCUCCUUCCUUUUUUUCUUCUUCUUCUACUUUUUUUCUCCCCAACAUUUGUAUAGAACAGCGUGUGUGUGUGAUAGCAAUUCUUCUGGGGACUAGGACAGCGCGUCUGCCUGCCCUUUCUCCCAUCCGCGCCCACCUGUUUCCCUCUAUACGGCAACCCCAAUCACCGCGAAACCGCCCUUCACAAUGACGAGUUUCUUCUCAGGCUUCCCUCCAGGACAGCAUGAGUCUGCCGUGGACGAUCUGUCGGAAGACCAUAGCCGCCACCCCGCCCAUCACUCCGUCCAUGGCAGACUGCGUGCUAAUUCCACCAUCAUGCAAUUCAACAAGAUCCUCGUCGCCAACCGCGGGGAAAUCCCCAUUCGAAUUUUCCGUACGGCCCACGAACUUUCGCUUCAAACCGUCGCGGUCUACAGCUAUGAGGACAGACUGAGCAUGCAUCGCCAGAAGGCAGAUGAGGCCUAUAUCAUCGGCAAGAGGGGUCAAUAUACCCCUGUGGGUGCCUACCUUGCGGGCGAUGAGAUUAUCAAGAUCGCCGUCCAGCACGGCGUUCAUCUCAUUCAUCCCGGAUAUGGCUUUUUGUCCGAGAACGCCGAGUUUGCCCGGAAUGUUGAGAAGGCUGGGUUGGUCUUCGUGGGACCGACUCCGGACACCAUCGAUACGCUGGGAGACAAGGUUUCAGCCCGACGCCUAGCCAUUAAAUGCGGCGUCCCCGUCGUCCCCGGUACCCCCGGCCCCGUCGAGAGAUUCGAAGAGGUCAAGGCAUUCACGGAUCAGUAUGGCUUCCCCAUCAUCAUCAAAGCUGCCUUUGGUGGUGGUGGUCGCGGUAUGCGAGUGGUCAGGGAACAGGAGACCCUGCAGGAUGCCUUUGAGCGUGCGACCUCGGAGGCCAAGUCCGCGUUUGGCAACGGCACCGUUUUCGUAGAACGAUUCCUGGACAAACCAAAGCACAUUGAAGUGCAGCUGCUUGGCGACAACCAUGGCAAUAUCGUCCACCUAUACGAGCGCGACUGCAGUGUCCAACGUCGCCACCAAAAAGUCGUCGAAGUUGCGCCCGCCAAGGAUUUGCCCGUCGAUGUCCGCGACACCAUCUUGGCCGACGCCGUGAAGCUUGCCAAGUCAGUUAACUACCGCAAUGCUGGCACCGCGGAAUUCCUUGUCGACCAACAGAACCGCUAUUAUUUUAUUGAAAUCAACCCCCGCAUCCAGGUCGAGCAUACCAUUACUGAGGAAAUCACCGGAAUUGAUAUUGUCGCCGCCCAGAUCCAGAUCGCUGCGGGUGCUUCCCUGGAACAGCUAGGCUUAACGCAAGACCGCAUCUCAACUCGCGGCUUCGCCAUCCAGUGCCGCAUAACAACAGAGGACCCCACCAAGGGCUUCUCCCCUGACACCGGCAAGAUUGAAGUUUACCGUUCUGCUGGCGGGAACGGUGUGCGUCUGGAUGGAGGCAACGGCUUUGCUGGAGCCAUUAUCACUCCGCAUUACGAUUCUAUGUUGGUCAAGUGCACUUGCCGUGGUUUCACCUAUGAGAUUGUACGACGCAAGAUGCUUCGUGCCCUUAUCGAGUUCCGCAUCCGCGGCGUCAAGACCAAUAUCCCAUUCUUGGCAUCGGUUCUGACGCAUCCAACCUUCAUCGAGGGUACCUGCUGGACCACCUUCAUUGACGAUUCGCCCGAACUCUUCUCUAUGAUUGGUAGCCAAAACCGUGCCCAGAAAUUGCUCGCCUAUCUUGGCGACAUUGCUGUCAAUGGUAGCAGUAUCAAGGGCCAGAUUGGCGAGCCUAAGUUCAAGGGUGAUAUCAAUAUGCCCACCAUCGUUGAUGAGAGUAACGAGCCCGUUGAUGUAACUGUUCCUUGCUCGCAGGGAUGGAAGAAGAUCGUUGAUGAACAAGGUCCAGCUGCUUUCGCCAAGGCUGUUCGUGCCAACAAGGGCUGUUUGAUCAUGGACACCACCUGGCGAGAUGCCCAUCAGUCGUUGUUGGCUACCCGUGUCAGAACGGUUGAUUUGCUGAACAUUGCCAAGGAGACCAGCUACGCGUACAGCAAUGCCUACAGUUUGGAGUGCUGGGGAGGUGCGACCUUCGACGUGGCUAUGAGAUUCUUGUAUGAGGAUCCGUGGGAUCGGUUGCGGAAAAUGAGAAAGGCGGUGCCCAAUAUCCCAUUCCAGAUGUUGCUUCGUGGUGCGAACGGGGUUGCAUAUUCUUCGCUCCCCGAUAAUGCCAUCUAUCACUUCUGUAAACAAGCCAAAAGAUAUGGCGUUGAUAUCUUCCGUGUUUUCGAUGCUUUGAAUGAUAUCGACCAGCUCGAGGUUGGCAUGAAGGCCGUUGCUGCCGCUGGCGGCGUUAUUGAAGCUACUAUUUGCUACAGUGGAGACAUGCUGAACCCAAGCAAGAAAUACAAUUUAGACUACUACCUCACCCUAGUUGACAAAAUUGUCAAGAUCGGGACCCAUGUCCUUGGUAUUAAGGAUAUGGCGGGUGUGCUGAAGCCCCAAGCUGCUACCCUUCUUGUUGGAGCCAUCCGCCAGCGAUACCCAGACCUCCCUAUCCAUGUGCAUACCCAUGACUCCGCAGGUACUGGUGUUGCAUCUAUGGUAGCUUGCGCCCAGGCUGGUGCUGAUGCCGUCGAUGCCGCUACCGACAGCAUGUCCGGAAUGACGUCUCAACCCAGCGUGGGUGCCAUUAUUGCAUCCCUCGAAGGCACAGACCUCGACCCCAAGCUCAACAUCCGCAACAUCCGCGCAAUCGAUUCAUACUGGGCGCAAUUACGUCUUCUCUACUCACCAUUCGAGGCUGGCCUGACAGGUCCAGACCCAGAAGUGUACGAACACGAGAUCCCCGGCGGGCAGUUGACCAAUCUGAUCUUCCAAGCCCACCAGCUCGGUCUGGGUGCCCAAUGGGCUGAAACCAAGAAGGCAUAUGAGCAAGCCAACGACCUGCUCGGCGACAUCGUCAAAGUCACCCCGACGUCGAAGGUUGUUGGUGACCUGGCCCAGUUCAUGGUCUCCAACAAGCUGACGCCGGAUGACGUUAUCGCCCGCGCCGGCGAACUUGACUUCCCGGGCUCAGUUCUAGAGUUCUUCGAAGGUCUCAUGGGCCAGCCGUACGGCGGCUUUCCUGAACCACUCCGAUCCCGCGCCCUCCGUGAGCGCCGCAAGCUCAACGACCGGCCAGGCCUGCACCUGGAACCGCUCGACCUCGCCAAGAUCAAGAACGACCUGCGCGAGAAGUUCGGUACCGCCACCGAAUGCGAUGUCGCCAGCUACGCCAUGUACCCCAAGGUGUUUGAAGACUAUCGCAAAUUCGUCGCGAAGUACGGCGACCUCUCCGUGCUACCGACAAAGUACUUCCUCGCUCGACCGCAGAUCGGCGAGGAAUUCUCCGUCGAACUGGAGCAGGGCAAGGUGCUUAUUCUCAAGCUCCUGGCCGUGGGGCCGCUAUCCGAGCAGACCGGGCAGCGCGAGGUGUUUUAUGAAAUGAACGGCGAGGUCCGGCAGGUUUCUGUGGAUGACAACCUUGCUGCGGUCGACGAUGCGAGCAGGCCCAAGGCGGAUCUGAGCGAUAGUAGCCAGGUUGGCGCGCCGAUGAGUGGUGUUGUCGUUGAGAUCCGCGUGCAUGAUGGGUUGGAGGUGAAGAAGGGAGAUCCGCUUGCUGUUCUUAGCGCGAUGAAGAUGGAAAUGGUGAUCUCCGCCCCGCAUCACGGCGUCGUAUCCAACCUUGAAGUUAAGGAGGGAGACUCAGUGGACGGGCAGGACCUCAUCUGUAAAAUUGUGAAGGCGGCCUAAUUUAGACGUUCGAAUCGAAAGGUAGUUUAGAUCGUACGUGGGGACGGCGUGAUAUUUGAUUCUUUGCCUUCUUCAUCAUUUUUCGCAAUGUCUUUGAUAUCUGAUAUCUGAACACCCUCGGCAUCAAUUGGAAGAUAUUCAACUGCUCUCAUUGAUGGAUGACCUAGGCGUUGAUGCCAAAUCUUUGAGGAAGCGAUAGAGCUCUUUGGGGCGUACGAAGGAGGGAGAAUUCGAUGAUUUUGAUAUCCUAAUAGAUUCUGAUUGAGAUAUUUUCGCAGGUUCCGUUGAAUUGCUAGUUCUGCGAUAUUCAGUAACCAGCAAUCCGCCAUCUACCUCUUAUACGGGCAAAGAUCGAAUCAUCGCUUAAUCCUUCGCAAUCUGAACGUUUUACCAUCGAGAUAGAUGUCACCUAGAUGAUAACAUGGCUUCCAAGCAAUCAGGUUGGUAUGGGAGAAAGGAACGUAUGCUAGGAUAUAAUAUGCCGCUGGGCUCAUAACUGUCGGAGCGGCGAUUAAUUGUCUGAAUAUUGACCCAAGUACUGAAUAUUGAUAGAUAAUGAAUGAAUUGACUUGACUAUCUAUAUC